GACGAACGCUGGCGGCGUGCUUAACACAUGCAAGUCGAACGGAAAGGCCCUGCUUUUGUGGGGUGCUCGAGUGGCGAACGGGUGAGUAACACGUGAGUAACCUGCCCUUGACUUUGGGAUAACUUCAGGAAACUGGGGCUAAUACCGGAUAGGAGCUCCUGCUGCAUGGUGGGGGUUGGAAAGUUUCGGCGGUUGGGGAUGGACUCGACGGCUUAUCAGCUUGUUGGUGGGGUAGUGGCUUACCAAGGCUUUGACGGGUAGCCGGCCUGAGAGGGUGACCGGCCACAUUGGGACUGAGAUACGGCCCAGACUCCUACGGGAGGCAGCAGUGGGGAAUAUUGCACAAUGGGCGGAAGCCUGAUGCAGCAACGCCGCGUGCGGGAUGACGGCCUUCGAGUUGUAAACCGCUUUCGCCUGUGACGAAUCGUGAGUGACGGUAAUGGGUAAAGAAGCACCGGCUAACUACGUGCCAGCAGCCGCGGUGAUACGUAGGGUGCGAGCGUUGUCCGGAUUUAUUGGGCGUAAAGGGCUCGUAGGUGGUUGAUCGCGUCGGAAGUGUAAUCUUGGGGCUUAACCCUGAGCGUGCUUUCGAUACGGGUUGACUUGAGGAAGGUAGGGGAGAAUGGAAUUCCUGGUGGAGCGGUGGAAUGCGCAGAUAUCAGGAGGAACACCAGUGGCGAAGGCGGUUCUCUGGGCCUUUCCUGACGCUGAGGAGCGAAAGCGUGGGGAGCGAACAGGCUUAGAUACCCUGGUAGUCCACGCUGUAAACGGUGGGUACUAGGUGUGGGGUCCAUUCCACGGGUUCCGUGCCGUAGCUAACGCUUUAAGUACCCCGCCUGGGGAGUACGGCCGCAAGGCUAAAACCCAAAGGAAUUGACGGGGCCCCGCACAAGCGGCGGAGCAUGCGGAUUAAUUCGAUGCAACGCGUAGAACCUUACCUGGGUUUGACAUGGAUCGGGAGUGCUCAGAGAUGGGUGUGCCUCUUUUGGGGUCGGUUCACAGGUGGUGCAUGGCUGUCGUCAGCUCGUGUCGUGAGAUGUUGGGUUAAGUCCCGCAACGAGCGCAACCCUUGUUCACUGUUGCCAGCACGUUAUGGUGGGGACUCAGUGGAGACCGCCGGGGUCAACUCGGAGGAAGGUGGGGAUGACGUCAAGUCAUCAUGCCCCUUAUGUCCAGGGCUUCACGCAUGCUACAAUGGCUGGUACAGAGAGUGGCGAGCCUGUGAGGGUGAGCGAAUCUCGGAAAGCCGGUCUCAGUUCGGAUUGGGGUCUGCAACUCGACCUCAUGAAGUCGGAGUCGCUAGUAAUCGCAGAUCAGCAACGCUGCGGUGAAUACGUUCCCGGG
rnacentral:rRNA from 1 species